UCCCACUUCUGUAAGUGUUGCCGCUGUGCCAAGCCCCAUUGUUCCUUAUGGAACACGGGGCGGCUUCUGUGUUGAAGGUGGCAGCAUCCCACUGCAUUGCCACACCAGUUUGCCCAUUGAGCCCCAGUGAACGUUUUGUACAUCAUUUGAUGGGUGGCAUGGGGAAACAUGGGCAAACCCAGGCAGACAUGUCCGAUGAUGCUUCAAUUGCCUCAUGUGAUCAGACUGCAAGUCUGAACUUUCCCUAGAUGUCAAGUGACGAAAUUGUAUAAACUUUACAUUUUAAGGCAGAGGUUACUGCUUUUCUCCUCUCUCCUUUUGACAUUCUAAUCUGUUUGUGUCUCAAAGUUGCACAGUGACACAGGAAAGAGUUGGUAUAGCAAAAGGCUAACGAUAUUUCAUUUGUGGCCCAGCAAGGCCUUGAGUGCCACAUUGUAAGGUAUGUUAAGAGUUUAGGUGGGCACAGAUAGGACCAUCCCUACUGAGAAAUCGAGUAGAAAGAACCAGGAUCCGGACAAAUCAAGAUGAGCCAACAACUAUCCUCACAGCAUCAUGCCCACCCAAAUAUCCCCCACGCUCUCUACCUCCAAGUCUUGGUGCAGAAAUGUAUCUUUUCCCCGUAAAGAGAUUUGCUUGAUUCCUUUGAGCCUCUUUCACAAUAUACAUUCCUCCACAUUGUAUAAGCUUAGUCAGCUGCUCAUGUUAGUCCUGUCACAAGGCUAUAGAGGUCUUGUGCUACCAAUUUAUCUUAAUUGGCAAUGAGUGAUAUUAAUUCCUGCACUGAUAAGCUAUCUAGAUUGGGUACAAAAAGCAACCCAGGCGUCAAGAUUUCACUCUCAGAACGAGCAAGGAUUCAUGGAAUUAAGAUACAGAGAAAUCACAUGGUUUUCCCAGAAUAUAUGAACUCAAAACAUUGAAUGGGACCAGGUUUGGAGUCACGUACCUUCCAAAUGUCCUGAUUUGGUAGAGACAGUUCCAGUUAACCAAUACUCAAACCACUAUGCCACACUGGUUCACUAUUUCAUGUUAGAAAUAUUAAAAGUUUUAGAGUCUCUUGAUGCACUUGCUGCUUGAACAAUUUGCUGCAAUUUCAAAGCGGCAUAAAGCAGACUGGUGCUGAUGUUACAGUAUCUUAUUAUGGAUUAUUUUAAAUUGUAUUUGCCUUUGGCUAAAUGCAAUAAAGAUUAAUUGCAUUUAUCUUACGUUCUAAAGAUAGCCUGUGUUCCCAUGAGACAAGGAAAUCACUAAACCAGCUCCGGAUUAAUGUUCACCUAAUAAAAGCUCUUUUAUUGCAAUGAGAGAUCUCAUCUCACAGGCAAUAUCUGACAACAAUGAUGAUUAGAUCCUGCAUCUCCUGGCACCAUGUGAUAGCCAUCAGUCAAUAUACUUUUAGUGUAAUAUAUUAUUUGCUCUAAAUUGAUCUCUGUGUUAUUGUAUUAUCUGGCUAGUAAGAUACAGCCAGGACAAAAUUUCUAAAUCAGGUUGUUAAUGCUUCCAUUUACAACACAGCAGUUGUGAAAUUUUAAGUGUCCUUGGUAAGUGCCCUUCUGCCCUUAACAACAACUACCACCAUCAAAAACAUGUCCAAAGGUAAUUGGGCAGUUGCACUUUAUAAUUCAACUACACGUGAACAACUGAGACAUUUAUCAAAAUGCAGUAUGGGAAGAUCCUUUACUGGUUUUCAGAGAGGAUGUUCUGUAUCUUUCUGAUUUGAUCCUCAACCAAUCAGCCAGAAUUCUGUAGCCAGUGGCCAUUUCUGAAUCCUCUUGUGGUGAAAAAUAUUGCAUACUAGCUUAGGUACCUGGCAAUGCUUGGGUUAGGUCUUUUGGAAAGGAUAGACAUUAGAAAAAGUCAUUGUUUGUGGAUUCGAUGAAGGUUCCCAUUAAGAAAUGCAUAAGGAUGAGGGUGGGUUGCGUCCCAUCAUUCUCUGUCAUUUCCCACCAAACUCCACCAGUAUUUAAAGUGGAUCAUGGGAGUGCCAAGAUUGGUCGAGAUCCAUUGUCAGUGGGGUUUCUAGUGGUCUCUGGAUGGGGGUGAAAGUACUGCAACUCCCAUCAUCUAGAGUCUACUACCAUCACUUCCAAAACCCCACCAGGACUUAAAGUUAGUCAUGCAGUUCUGUGUGUCAAAUUUGGUCCAGAUCCAUUGUUGGUGGGGGUCACAGGGGUCUCUCAAAGUGGGAACUGCUCCUGUCUCUUCUCUGUUUUAUGCUUGUCAGGGAUUUCCUGAGGAAGCUGCUGUUUAUUUUUCAGGUUGUAAAUAGAAAUGCAUGGCUACAAUAAGACUGGCUAAAGAAGAUCCUUUAUUUCCAGCUUAAGCUUUGCAUUGUUUAUUCAAGACACACGGCUGCAAUUGAACAUGGAAGGGCUGUGUUUGUUCAGACUGCUAUCAUGAUCAUCAACACCAUCAUCAUCAUCUCAAUACAAGCAGUCCCCAAGUUAUGAACAAGAUAGGUUCUGUAGGUUUGCUCUUAAGUUGAAUUUGCAUGUUCGUCAGAACAGGUACAUUUCUGAAGUGUAACUUCAGCCAAUACACAUAUUAGCUUUGGAUAGCAUAGGGAAGGCUUAACAACACUGUGAUGUUUGUUUUGCUAUCUGUGCCACUGUUCAGAAGAUUUCACCUUACUUUCUGUCCCUGUGAUGAUUGGAUUUUGAAAAAAAAAAACCUUAUAAAAAGCUAUAAUGUUGGAGGUUUUAUUAACAGUGGUAUGUCUGCAGUAUGAAAUACCGAUUGAUAGUCAUAUAUUGCAUACAUUUGUCCAGCUAUUUCAAAUCCAUCCAAAGGCACAUCUACCCUGUAUCCCCAAAAAUAAGACAUUCCCUGAAAAUAAGACCUAGUAGAGGUUUUGCUGAACUGCUAAAUAUAAGGCCUCCCCCGAAAGUAAGACCUAUCAAAGUUUUUGUUUAAAAGCAUAUCCACCAAAUACAACACGGAAGCAUGCAGAAUUGGUAAAUGUACACACCAUAGAUUGUUGUGCAUGGAAAUAAUGAUAGUAACGAGAAAUUCUGGAUAGGAUUCACAGUUUGGUUAUGUUGGUUUGUGAUGACAACUACUGUACAGUAUAUAAUAAGUGUUCUUUUUUUGUUCAACAAUAAAUGUGAAUUCUUCUUCAUGGAAAAAUAAGACAUCCCCUGAAAAUAAGACCUAGAGCGUCUUUUGGAGCAAAAAUUAAUAUAAGACACUGUCUUAUUUUCAGGGAAACACGGUAACUGACCAGAGUGAAAGAUGGCUGAAUCAGCUCUGUAGCAGUUAAAUGCUGCAUGGAGAUGAUCCAGGUUAAAGUGGAGCAAAGCUGCUUAACACAACCUUGAACUAAAUUAACAAAAGUUGUAGGUUGCUCCGAAUUCUGCCCCAGAAUAAGUGGUCACCCUAAGUUAGCAAUGAUUACAAUAAAUUCCAUCUUUUAUAGCUCCUUGGGAGCACCUGGAAACCAACCUCCUACACAUUCCACUGUCACAAUAUGAUUGUGAUGCUCGCCAUGAUGCUCUAUUGUGAUGUGCUUAUGAUUCUGUUAGCGACAGAGAGACUGUUGCAUUGCAUGUCUCCAUUGUUCAGCUGUUAACUGCCUGCUGAGACUAAAAUGGGGAAGACAAAGCUCAAUGAGUUGGAGAUGAGAAAGGGAAGGUUACAAUAAUCUUAAAGGGGUAAGACCACACAGUUAAAGACCAUUUGAACAAGCUAAGACUCCUUUGUAACUCACAUAGAUUAAAUAGGAAUGUUGGACCAACAAUAUGACUUCUCCAUUUUCCCAGUUUUGAUCGAAUACAACUGGACAACGCAGGUAACAAUCUUUGUUACUUGAAAAGUUUCCCAAAUAUUCAUUCAUUCUCAAGUUUCUGCUUUUUUUCCACAUAGGAAAAAAGAAAUUAAUUUUCAUAAGUGAAAGGUCUAGAAUCUUAUAACUCAGAAGUUAUUAAUAUAGAAAAAGACAAUAAUAAUAACAUUCAUUAGCCAGUCUAUGUUAUCUGCACUGUAUAUGAUUGGCCUUGAUUCCAAGAAUGUAAGAUAAACAUUUUACCACUUUUCUAAUUAAUCGUAUUUGGACAGGGGCUUUUGCUGUUGAGUUUUUACUUUUGUUAUUGUUAGUUUGGAUCUUGAUUCAGGGAAAUUCUUUAACCCAACUCAAAUCAUGAGGAGAGACAGGUAAGAAAUGUUGUUGUUGUUGUUGUUGUUGUUGUUGUUGUUAUAGUUGAAACAUUUAUCAGUAUUUCAGUCAUUCAUUGUAAUGAUUAAUCAAUUAUGUUUCCCAUUUUGAUGUUUUUCUCAUUAUCAGUAUAAUUUCUUUGGAAGGAAAUGUCCAAAUGUUCCAUAGAUUAUUAUCUAGGAUUUUGAAACCUGGAGCAUUCAGCACCUCCAGGUUUAAAAAACCUUUUCUCAAGGAAUCUUCUAUUAUUGUGUAUAAAGGUAAUAGGCUUCACUUUCAGAAUGGCGAUAGAAACCUGAUGUAUCUGGACACUUGACAAGUCUAAAGUUUGACUGCUGACCAACUCCAAAAUGGAGGAACUGAAGGUCUCCAACGCAAAACAGAAACUUGGAAACAGCAAGUCCGUAAUGCAUCAGAUCAAGAUUCAGGUCAGUCCUGCAAUGUCUGUGUCUCUCUUUGUUUACAUCGGCUUCAUCACACAGGAGAAAAGUUAACAGCCAUGUGUAGCCAGAAAUGUCCCUUUCGAACAUAAUCUACAAAACCAGACGCCAACAUCCUACCCUUCAGCAUUUUACAAGCGAAAACUGCGGCAUGUUAUGACCAAGCAACAUCAGUGUGUGGUAAGGUGAUAAAAGUUAUUAAAAGGAAGAACACAACAAGGUAGAAGAAUCGUCUAUUUUUGCAAAAUUCUGCUUCCUCAGCUCUUCUUCCACAUAUUGUGUCUUUUGGACCUCUUUGCAGCAAUUCAAUUAAGCUGAAGACAAAGGAGAAAGUGGGAUAAAGAGAGAAACUGGGACAUUUAAAAAAACUGAAAAAGUGCAAUGACAGAGCAUCAGUUGGAUCUGUCCCUGCCAAUCUGGAAUGUUUUUUGGGGUAGACAUUAUAUGGUCUGUUAAUCCAAUUUGUAUCAGGUAAGACAUGCUUCCUUUCCCCAAUACCCCUCAGUCCGGUUGACAAUCUUGAAUCCGUUUCUCUAUGAACACCCAUGAGACCUGGAAAUUUGAAAACCACAGGAUGAACUACUUAACGAAUCUCGGAUAUGAAUUUUAAAGCCUUGUCAGAAAAAGCCUGAAACUACAGCACCAUUUUCAGCUGAAACUGUAGUCAGGUAAUUCAACUACUGCUACUUGUCUUGAAACCUGCUGUCACUUAGAGAUGAUCAAGCUGAGCAUUUCAGGACCUGAAUUCUUUUCUAGUUCAUGUUCUAGGUCAAACUGCAGGAAGACGGCUCUAUGUGGGAAGGCACAUAAAUAAACAUUGUCUCAUUUCUAUUUUUAGUUUUACAAUGGCAAGUUAAAGCAGAAUUCUUGGGAUAUCUCUACUUAAGUAGUUGUUUGACAGAGCAUAUUCAAAGUUGAUGAUUGUGAAUAGAAGCAGAGGCCUGCAGGUUUUCUGUCCUAGGAAUGGUAAAGAAGGAAUCCUGAACAAGCUUUCAGGUAAUACAAACAUGGGAGUGGUUGCUAAUGCUAUCUCUUCUUGUUAACUUAAUGUCAUUGGAUCAUGGUUUAUUUAGAUUUUGCUACCAGUUACAAUCCAUUUUUCUUUUGCAUUCUUUAUAUGUGAAGAAUCCACAGUGCUAAGUUUAUGUUAAAUAUGUUGUUGUUGUUCGGGCUUGUCCCUGUUGUGAGCCGCCCCGAGUCCCUUCGGGGAGAUGGGGCGGGAUAUAAAAAUAAAGUUUAUUAUUAUUAAAGUGUAUUAAACUGCUAAGGUGCAGAACUUGCUGGCCAGAAGGUUGGUGGUUUGAAUAUGCGAGAUGGAGUGAGCUCCCAUUGUUUGCACCAGCUUCUGCCAACCUGCAAAUGUGAGUAGAUCAAUAGGUAUUGCUCAAGUGGAAAGGUAAUGGCGCUCCAUGCGGUCAUGCCGGCCACAUGACCCAGGAGGCAUCUAUGGACAACGGUGGCUCUUUGGCUUAGAAAUGGAGAUGAGCACCAUUCCCCAGAGUCAGACUUGACUAGACUUAAUGGCAAGGGGAAACCUUUACCUUAAUGGCACAAUUUAUAAAAAUGGAGACAAGACAGUGCUGGAAGAUUCUUUGUCAGAAACUUAAUACUUUCUAAGUUGUUAUGAGUACAGUUUUAGUGACUGAUGUUUAAUGGUUUUGCUGUUGUAUGUUCCCGGGAGAGCUGUUUCAGGUAAAAAUGUGACAGGCCAAUAAAUAACCACAGUAUAAAAUUUUGAGGCAGAAUCAGCAUCUUCACAGCAUUCAACAAAAAUGUGGAAUUUUAACAGGAAAGUCAGGCCAGCAAUAUUACUUGCACUCCGUUUUUUUCAGUUUUGACCAAAUACAACUGGAUAACAAAGGUAAAAUAUUUACUUAUGUGAAAAGUUUGGUAAAUACUCAGAUUUGGUUAAAUGUUUGCCUCCGCAUAGGAAGGAGAACAUUGUCUCCAUCGAAAGACCUAGAACUUUAUAGAUCAGAAGUUGUAGAAAAAAAAAGGAGCAUAACAUUCAUUAGCUAAUCUGUGUUAUCUGUAUAGUAUGCAAUUGGCCUUGACUCCCUGGAAUAUGAGGUAAGCAGCAUUUUAUCAUUUUUCGAAUGAAUCGUAUUUGACAAAGAUUUUUUGCUAUGACUUUUUGCUUUCUUUGUUUUUGAUUUGGAUCUUGAUUCAUGGAAAUGCGUGUUUAAAAUAUUUAUCAGGAAUUUAUUACAUUCCUUCCACCACCACCACCCCCCAUGACUUAUUUUUAUCAUUACUGACCAUUGCACUGUUUUUAGCUGAAACACCACCCAGGUACUGAAUUAAACUAUUGUCUUUAAACCUCCCGUAAUGUACACAUGAUCAAGCUAAGCAUUUCGGUAUCUGAAUUCUUUUCUUAUUCAUUUUCUAGGCCAGAACGGCAAGGCCUGCAAAAGAAGGCACUCCCCAACCUCUGUGUGGGAAGGCAAGAGGGUUGGCAUCUGUGCUUGGCUUGCUUAUGGGCCUUGUUGGCAUGCCCAGGGUAGCACUGACCGCCACUUUUGGGGUCGGGAAGGAAUUUUCCUCCAGGGCAGAUUGGCCUCGGACCCUGGAGGUUUUUCGCCUUCCUCUGGGCAUCCAGCAGGGCCCACCCAUUUAGGACAAGAGUUGAGUGAAUUAAACUUUCAUAAAAUAAAAUAAUUUCACACGAAUUUAAAACG